AACACCGUCUUCACUAACAGUCAGCUGUGACGGCACGACAAUUGUACCCUCAAUAAACAGUAGUAACCAAUGAGUCUUGAACACAAGUAGCACAUGCUGCUUCCAUGCUAAGAAAUUGCUAUCAUCAACAAGCAUAGCAACUUUAUGAGAAGCGAAAGCCACUAGAUUGAAGAACUUUUCAGUUGCUACUUUGGUGGAGCCAAUAAUUGACUCCAUUGUUGUCACAACAUUCAAAUACACUCUAAUACCAUAUUAGAAAGAUUGAAGAGAGAUAGAAAUCAUUCAUAUCAUCAGCAAUACAGAGACU
rnacentral:lncRNA from 1 species